rnacentral:tRNA from 1 species
GGGGCUGAGGCUCAGCGGUAGAGCACGCCUCUCUCAUGUGUGAAGCCCUGGGUUCGAUCCUCAGCACCACA